rnacentral:tRNA from 1 species
GUUACUGUAGCUUAUCAUAAAGCAUGGCACUGAAGCUGCCAAGAUGUAUAAUCAACUAUUCCAGAAACA